AUGUGCAUACCCAAAAAGAAUGUUGGCAUGGGCUUCAAAGAUAUUCAUUGCUUUAAUCUCGCAUUGUUGGCUAAACAGGCGUGGUGGCUGAUUGAAAACCCUAAGUCUUUAUGUGUUGUUAUACUCAAAGCAAAAUAUUUUUGUGAUGGAGAUCUCAUGAGUGCUUCUUCGAAAAAGAAAGCAUCGUACACAUGGCGAAGCAUUAUGACAGAGUGGAGACGUUGA
rnacentral:rRNA from 1 species